rnacentral:lncRNA from 1 species
AAGGUUUUUCUAAAUCUUAUAUAAAUGCUAUAUAGUUUUAGAUUAGUUAGAUAAAAUUUUAUUUUAUAAUCUGGAUGGAGAUAUGGCAACAAAUGGAGAUGAAAUGGAUAUUACUUCAAGACUUGAAGAUCACGAAGGCUAUACCUUUUGACCAUCUAGUUAUCUUCGAUGGCUCGAGAUAACCAGUUUAGAAAGUCCAUAAUCAUCUAUAGUAGUUUGAUAUGCUUAGCUUAUAUUAUAUAUGUGAUGUAUGAUAUAUGCAUGAUCAUGCCAAAGCAUAAAACCCAUACAUCCGAUAUUUGUAUGUUCAUGCCAAAGCAUGAGAUCUUAAUCACUACUUUUUAACAAAUCCCUCAUUCAAUAUUAAGUCAUAUAUUCAGAACAUGAUUAAGUUGCCUUCCAUAAUUAAAAUAGGAAUAAGAGCCUUUUUUAUAGCCCACUAGGAUAGCUAAAUUGUUAGCAUCCCAAAUUGAUAAUGAUGGCUAUUAAUUUGUAUCAAAAAAUAGUGGGAGUUAAACAACAGGUUGCAAGACCUUUACUAGUUACUUGUAUAAAUUAACUUAUAUUGGUUUAUCUUUAUAUUGGAAGGUUGUAAAGAAAGAUGAGUGGCAAUCUAUUUUUGCGUAGUAUCCUUGAUACCAACAAGCUUACUAAGCUGAACUUUCUUGAUUGGCAUAAGAAUGUGAGAACUAUUCUUAAAUAAGAAAAGAAGUUUUAUAUGCUAGGCACACACCUCUAUUGUGUCUCCAUGCAGAAGAUGCACCCAAGGAGGUGUUCCAAGAGUACAAAAAGAGUUAAGAAGAUGAUGACCAAGUUGCUUGUGUAAUGUUAGGGAGUAUGACCUACAAACUACAAAGAUAACAUGAAAAUAUGGAUGCUCAAACUAUCAUCUUAUAUUUCAAAAAAAUGUUUGAUAAGUAGUCAAUGAUUGAAAGGUAUGAGACCUCAAAGGAAUUGUUCUGAUGCAAGAUGGCCGAAGGUGCAUCUUUGAAUGCACAUGGAUUAAAGAUGCUUGGAUAUAUUGAAUAUCUAGGGCGUCUUGGUUUGUGAUGUACCAUGAAGUAAGUAUAGAAUUAAUUUUACAAUCUCCACCUAAUAGUUAUUCAGAAUUCGUUAUGAAAUUUCAUAUCAAUAAUUUGGAUAUUAUGAUACCUGAACUUAUUAAUAUGUUAAAGAAUACGGAGGGCACCAUAAAGCAAAAGGGAGUAGUUCUAAUGGUAGAACAUUCUAAGACUGCUAAGAGUAAAUCUAAGAAGAGAAAGGUAAAGAAAACCCAUAAGCCCAAGAAAGCCUUAAAGGCUAUUAGAGGUGUUAGCAAGAAUAAAGGAAAGUGUCACCAUUGUGGGAAGGACAUUAGAGAAGGAACUGCAAGGCUUAUCUCACUGCUUUGAAUGAUAAGAAGCAAAAACAAGCUUCUAAUUCUACAAAGAAGGAAUAGCUUAAAGGCAAUUUUUGCCAUUUGGUUUAGUUAUUAGCUUUGUUUUUCUUAUUUAGAAUUUAAUAAUUAUUAUUAAUUCUUCUUCUAAAAUAAUUUUUAAUUAUAAUUUUAUUUAAUAAUAUUUGGCAAUUAUUGCAUUAUUUAGUUAAAUGAUUUAUGUUUCUAGAAUAUCAUACAAAAGGUUGUACGAAAGUAAGGAAAACAUAACCCUAUUGCGAGAGAACUAAAGCAAUCCUAAAUAGGCAUAAGGAUUAAAUUAUUGAUGUUAAGAUAAAUAAGUAACAUAAAUAAGUUGUGUAACUUAUAAAAUCUUAUAAAAUUAAUAUUAUAAUCAAGUUGUCUUUGAGAAAGAUUUAUGAUAAAGUAUCAUAUCAAGAUCAGAUCAUGAUAUGGAAUACUUGGAUCAUCAUUAGAAUAUCUAUAACUUGCAAUUACCCAAAUUGAUAAAGUUUCAUAAGAUGAUGAAACCUAACUUUGUAAGACAUAGUUAUAUCAAUAAAGAGUGUUGUAAGCCUUCUCAUAUGAUAUAUACUCUUAUAACCUUUAACUCAAAUAUGUUCUAUUUAUGAUAUGAUCGUAAUAAAGUCUAUAUAGGAUAUAGACUAGUAUGUGAUGUUUAAGAGAAACAUACACAAUUAGACAAAGCUGAAAGGCUUGAUCUAAUAAAAGUAAGUUUGUGAGAUAUCCAAAAAGGGUGUUAGGAUAUCAACAAUAUCAUACUCUUGAAACAAAAGUGUUCGUUUGGAAUAUGUUUUCUUUUAAGAAAAUGAGUUUUCUGAAAAAAGCAGUGGGAGUUUGAUAGAUCUUGAUAGAGAUCAAGAUAAACAAACUAGCAUUAAAAUAGAACAUAGCUUGAAGGUGUUUAGCAUAAGAUGCACAACCUUAAGCUAUUCAUAUACACAACUUUUGGUAUGUAGUAGGAUACAACAUAUUUAUAAGAAAUGAAGAUCUUUUAUGGAAUAUGUAAUUAUAACUCUACUACACUAAGAACUAAUGUGUGACAUUAACUCUUAAAGUUGGUAUCAGACCAUAAGAUUCUAUUGUAAAUACACAUAUUUUUUAACCAAGUGAAGACUAUAAUGGACCCAUCUAAAUGGAUUAGAUCCAUUAAGGUGCAAGUGAGUUUUUUAAGCAAGAUUAAUAUGGAAGUCUUUGCAUAAAGGUUGAGCAAAGAAAACUUAAUAAGUUACAUACUUAAUCAAAGGGUUGAUUAGUAAUAUAACUAUAAGUAUCAAUCCAAAUAGAAUAAAAAAGUGUAUAUGAAGGGGUUAGUAGGAGUAUAAUAAUAUUUCCUAAUAUCAUAUAUGGUGGACAUAUAGAUAAAGGGAAAAGUAACAAAGCUUUAUCAUGAGUCUACCAAGACUAAUAAAUCCUUAAAGAGUUAGAACAUACAGUUUACUUUCUAGGAUUGAGAUAUGUGGAGAUAGAUGUUUCAAACUACACGAAUGUUCUAAAUUUCGAGUACAUAUAUAUAUAUAUAUAUAUAUAUAUAUAUAUAUAUAUAUAUAUAUAUAGAUGUGUGUGUAUGUGUGUGUGUGUGUGUGUGUUAAAGGAGUUUAACAUGGAAAAAUCAGAGAAAGAUUCUUGGUGAUGUCUCAUGACAUAUCUCUUUCCAAAGAUAUGUGCCAUAAACACUCAUUAAGAAAGACGUUAUUAAUAGAAUGAUUUAUGCAAAAGCAUAAUAUUUUAUUAUAUAUAUAUGUCAUGUUAUGUACUAGACUUUAUGGUUAUUCUAGAUGUGGAUUGUGAAUCACAUAGAAUAAAUUCACAAGAUAGAUUCAAUUUUGUAAAGAUUUCCAAAAGGAUCAUUCUUAUGACUUGAGCUUAAUACAUCUUAUUAUAUUUGAGGCAAUAUAUGAGAGAUAUUUAGAUCUUAAUAUUAUUUUUCAAGAAUAAGGUGUGGUUCUUAAAUAUUAUUGAUAUAAAGAGUUAGAUAGACAAUAAAGCUAUUUUUAAAUUACUAAGGUCUCAUAUGUGAUACAAACUAUUGUAUUAAAGCAUUACCAAUAAAUGAUUUAUUAGUAGAAUAUAAAGAUAAAAUAAAUAUGCAUUAAGGAUAAAAAAAGUUGAUCCUCCAACAAAGCCGUUUGACCUAGUAAGAACAUGAUCAUCAUAAGAUAGAGUUCAGUAUUGGAUACUAUGAUGAUUGGCUUUGACUGUGCUUUACUGCAAGUGGGAGAUUGUUAGAGUAUGUUCUAAAGAGAAAGAGUUGUCAAAUGAUUACGUUUUAAUUUAUACAUCACAAUUGAUGGCAUAAAAGUAUACUAAAGGCAUUGUUCGACUCUAAUGGUAUGAGUAAUUGGAUAUUGUUAAGGAAUAAUCCAAACUGUUAAAGAUGAAUACCAUGGAAUGUAAGCACAAAUGUAAGAGAAAUUAUAAAGCGAGUUUAUAAUGAUGAGGUUCUCAUUACAUACAUUCCUAAACUUUGUUCAUAGUCGAUGUUUGAUAAAGAAUUAGAUAUUGAUCAAUCGCUCGAGACUACUAUAAUGUAUUAUCACUUACUUGUGAAGUAAGCAAUAUGUCUUAUAAGGUUGAGGAAUAGGGAUUUCGAGAUAAGCAUAUGGGUGCUUGUUAUAAGAACAAGUUCAUUGAACAUGACCCUACUGAGUAGUCCAUAUGGAAUUUACCCCAAGUGUCUAUGGGCAAUACUCGUAUUACAAUGAUGAAAGACGUUAUCCUAUCCAUAGAGCAUUCAAGAGAUAGUCAUUAGGUAUAGUAAGAGGCAUAUGAAGAUAAUAAGUUAUCAAUAAAUAAUUCAUUGCCCAAGGUAAUAUGUCAUGGGACCUUAUCCUAAUGAUUCUUGAUAUGUUUUAACAUGAAAAUCCUUGGCCAAGGCAUUUGAAUGAAGAUUAUAAAAAGUGUUUCAUAGAUCUUAUUCAAGAUGUUAUAUGCAAUUAUCAAGAACAAAUAUGAUUGAAUCAAUUAUAGAGUUGACACUUGCAUCUAUAUACGAUGAAUCAAUUGGGAUAAAAGUACAAUGAAAGGACUGAAUUACAUUAUGAGAUUAUUCACUGUAAAGAUUGAUUAAAGCACUUUAAUCCUUGCUCAUAUUUGGAUAGUCAUGAUGCAUUGCUAGAUGCCAAUCUUAAUCUAUGAAAUAUGAAUUAAGUUAAUUAGAGAAUAAACAUUGAAUUAAAAGGGUUUAAUUCAUAAUUUAUAAUUCAUUGCCAACAUGUUAGGAACCUUUUGGGUCACAUAUAAACAGGCUUAAAGUUGAGAUUAAAAUGAGGCUUAAGAUUGGGCUUAAGCUUAUAUGCGUUGGGCCUAAUUAAAACUUAAUUAGUUUAAUACAUAUUGGGCUAUGAUACUCGAUUAUAAGGGCUCUAUAACUAUGCUUAUGUAUUACUUAAGUUAACUUAGUCUAAACAAGCCAAAUUAAAGCCCAACUUAAGAGUAAGUAAAGCCUUACUUGUUACAAGACUAGGUUAAAUCCCAUGUAUAUAUAUAUGUGGAGUAUGAUAGGCGGGUAGCUAUGUGCAUGUAUAAAGGAGAGUGAUGCCAUCAACACUUAAUUAAUUAGAUUAAUUAAGAUUCAACCUAGCUUGGAACUAGCAUUCACUCUUCAUCAUCUGCACUUUCUCUCUUGUGAAGGAUUGUUCAUAGGAGAUUCCAACUUUGAAGCUUGUGUAGAUUACCAUUAGAGGCUAUUUAUUUAGUAGCUUUAAAGUGCAUCAAUCAUCCUUGAAGAAUCAAGAAUCAACAAAGCAAGAAGCAUUCCUUGGAAUAGGCGGCACACACUCUUUGUAAGCCUUCUCCAUCUUUUGCUUAUUUUUGUGUGUUAUGACUAUCUAAAUUAAUAAGAACCUUAGUGGGAAUUAAGAAAAUUUUUAAAUUGCUUCCCUUGUGCCUUUCCUUAUGUUUUAAUUUCAAUUCCCAACAAAAAAUGCAUUUCCUUUGCCCGAUUCUCAUGUUGACUUUUAUUAAGGCCUCUAGGGUCAUUUGCAUGUGCAGGUGUUAAUCUCCAAUUUCCUUAACUCCUUUCUAGUUCUAUUCUCCUCCCCCUUUUCUAUGUGUGUUUAUUUGCUACUUAGGAUAUCACCUUACAUGUGAAUAAAUGAAUAAAAUUAGACUUAGCAGUUGUUUUGAUCACCCCAUAUGCAAAGAUAAUAAAAUUGAAAGCUUAUCAAAGUAAGCCCCCGCGCUUCGCAUGUAUUAACUUCAAAUGCUAAGGCUAAAAUAAAUCUAAUACUUGGAAUAUGGUUAAUAAAAAUUGCGAAUGAUGUGAACACCAUGGAAUGUCAAGAUAAGACCUAAGGCACCAAAGCGCCUCUUAAUUAGGACUAGCAAGGGUACCAAUAUGCCUCCCAUCUAGAACUAGUUAAGGUACCAAAGUACCUCCCCCUUAGGCUAGUCUUUUGGUUCUUCAGCUCACUUGCUAAUAAGAUAAAAAGAAAGGUUGGUGUGCAAAAGAAUAUAGGGUAAAGAUUAGGCUAAGACAAUGUUAUUAGGAUUGUCAAAGGCUCGUCUCCUCUAGUGGAGGCUAGGCUUCACCGCCUAGGCAGAUAGGGGUGCUUUUGCAAACCUUCUCUAUUUGUACCUAACUUUCGAAACCUAGAAUCUCUGAUUUUAGAGAAGGGGAAACUUAAGCUCUCUACGAGGGGUACAAAGUCAUCAACCUCACUCCCGAAUUUGUCCUCAUCUCAUCGGGCGGUGACUCCUUCUUUGAUCAGUCUUAAGGCCAUUCGUAAUCCCUUAGGGCCCUGAACCAAACGACUCAUUUUGAAACGAUCCUAGUAUAGAGAGUGGACCCUAGACCUGUAGUGAUCUUGGUCCCUCACAACUGGGCAUAGAGUUCUAAUGGUUUAGAGACAGAGAAGGAGAUGAUGACGUAUAUCAGAGAUCUAAAAGUCAUAGUAAUGACAAGAAGCAUAAAUCUAGAGAUAACUCAAGCAUACAAGGAUUGAACAGUUUUACCUAGAGCUAUGCUGAUACUUGUGCAAUGAUAGUUGUGCUUUCCUAUAAUUUCAUGUAGACAGCAAGCAAAUCUUUUUUCUCAUGCCUUGACUUUUGCCUAAGCCAUUUUUUCAAGUUUUCAACUUAGCAAGCUUUUCUCUUUUUAUUUAUUUCUUCUCUCUUUUAUUUUUGUCUUUUUUGUCUUUGUCUUAAUUUUUGCAUAAGCUGUCUUUACAGGUUGUUAACUUAGCAGUUUUUUUUUCUUUAUUUCUUUUUCCUUUUUACUGAUUAAGCAAGAAAUAUGAGCUGAAGUACUUGGAGUCCUUUCUGUCAAGCUUACAGAUGAUUCUACUAAUUCUCAAGAUUUUCCUGAUAUGAGAUUUUUUGGAUGAAAGUUUGAGAGGCUCUAUCCCUGCUGACUCAUUGAGUAUGAUGUUAAUUGAUGGAGACUUAAUUGUUACAAAUUCUUGGAUUCUUUUUGUAAGAAAUGCAAGAACAAAAGAGCUAAAGAAAAUCAUCUUGCUUCUAUUUAGAUAUCAUAUAUUUUACUUCUUAUUUUAUUUUUCCUUCUACUAUUGCAUAAGCAAUGAAGAAUUUUGUGCAAAUUUAACAAAUAUUUUAAUCAAAUUUUAUUCAUUUAAUAAGAGCACAAACAUGUAUAUUUUUUAUUUCACAUAACAUCCCUCUUGUUAUCAACUAGUCCAUUUGGAUUUUCUAGUUGUUUAUUUUCUCUUCACCUUAUUUUCUGAACUUUUGCAUGACUAAUCUAUGUAGGUCUUUUAAUAAGCAGGAUUUAUUUUUCUCUCUUUUUUCUUUUUUUUGUCCUUUUCUUUUCUUUAAAGAUAGUGUCUCAAAUGGUCCAAAUUCACUUAUGAACUUAUUGCCCCUGAGAUUUGAACUCCUUCCAGCAUAUUGAAGCAUAAUCUUUUCUUUCUUUAAUAUGAAAGUUUUCAACUUGAUCUAGAUUUCUUUUGGAAUCAAAUGCAAUGGGCCUUGCAUAUUUCAAGAAUAGAGCAUCAAUCUUUAAUCUCUUAUAUCUUUAGAGGUUCUUGCUUUAAAGUUGUUAUUAAUGUGAUGAGAAAUGAACUCGACCCUUUUAGUUUGCAAAUAGUUAUGGUGAAUAAUGUUAUUACCUUGAAUUCAAUCUUGCGUAUUAAAUAUUAUACCAUUUUUUAUUUUUUUUCUUCUCUCUCUUUCUUUUUUAUUCUACUUCUUUCACUUUUCUCUCUUCAAGAGUUAUAAUGUGCAAUAGAAUUAUUUCUAAGAUUAUUAUUUGUGCUGAGAUUAAAUAAACUAAUUCAAAUAAGAUUGAUGUCAAAUAUGCUCAUGAAAUAAUCAUCAUAAUGCACACUACUAUUAGGAAAAACAUGAUUAGAUAAGCAAAAUCAAAGUUAUAUCAUAAUCCUAAAAGCAAGAUCAUAUCAUUGACUUAAAAUAAAUCAACAUCUGAAUUUUACGAAGCUUCAUCAUCUUUAGAUGGUAGGUUUUCAAUCUCUCUAACUUUGAUAAUUUCGUAUUUUCUUUUCAACUAUAGUCUUUUCAAUUUUCUCUACUUGUAAGCCAUCAUCGUACAAGCCCACGAAAGUCCUUUCAUCAUUUGUAAUCGUUCAACCCAAGAUGGGAGAAUAUUUCAGAUUAUCAUAAGAACUUGAUCUUGCUUUCCCUGAGGUAAAGAUUAAUAGAGGCUAUUCUACUAGAUGUAUUGAAAAUUAUAUUACCCUAGUCUGCCCUAACUCGUGACCUAGACCUUGCUCUAGUUAUAUUGACUAUAAUUAUAUUAUAUCCAGGUAAAGAAUAUGAAAAAUUAUCAUUAGAUCUGGCCGAGUAAAGAAAUCUAUAUAGAUCCCUCCCAGGGAAGGAAUUAGCUCUAUCGUUGAAUCUAAAAUCUUAUCGUUAGCCCUAAGGAAAAGACCUCUAUUUUAUCUUAGCAUGCUUACUUAAAACAAGCAGUCUUGCAAUACGAAAUACAAUGAUGCGUACGUCUUUCGGCACCCUAUUUACCAGUGGGCAAAAAAGGGUCAAUGGAAAGAAAAAGAUAAAGAACCAUAAACGUAUCAUUAAACAAUGAAAUUGAUUUUUUAUCAUAUCACUGAAAGUUGAAUUUCUCUUUCGCUCCUUCGCGGAGCGGCAUACCGGAAAAAAGAAAGGGUACCAAUGAAGCCGACCAUUAAUGACUAGUUCGAACACCAGGAGCGGUCUGAUCCCUUAUUUGAGUUCGUUUUCGGCUCCUUCCACUACGCUUGCUUAACACUUAGCAAAAACGAUGAAAAAGAUGGAAAAAAGAACUGAAGACACAACCGAACUGACUUUUCGAAGAACAACCAAGAAAACUUCGUUAAAUUUGCCUGUGUUAAGCAUAAGGCUUUUUUAGAAUGAUUGGACCCGAAAUGAAGAAAGAAAAAGAUCCCAUUUCUAGUCAUAAAGUCUCGCCUACGAUCUAAGGUUUUUUCUCUUUUCUAGACUUUCUUCUCUUAUGAGAUUUCUUGUUUAAUUGAGUUUCUUCUUUCUCUGUCUCAUCAUUCGGGCAACUACUGCGAAUGCAUCUUCGCAGAUGAAAGAAUUAUCGGCAUGGGCGAAACCUAAAGUGGAGAUUUAAUUUAUUGAAAAGCCUCCGUCUUCGAAUUCUUUAUCACGUAAAAGUAAAAGAAGUAACUAAUCCAGGAGCCAGCACUUACCUGGGCGACCCCGUAUCCAUAUUUUCUUGCGGCGUGGACCUCUGACAAUUUCCUUACCACCCACAUCUGGUAAUCCUGAACAUCGCUGUGAAUUGAAUGGGUUUUCCCCUGCGAGUUAUUAAAAUACCCUUUUUAGAAUCCUUUUUAAUUAAGCGAGUGCUACUUACAUGGAGUGGGAUAGGAGCGAAUAGAGUGCUAGACAGUUUUCAAGCUUUUAUUUAAAGUCCCUGAAGUUUCAUUCCCCUUGGUUAGCAGUCCCUUGAGGUUCCUUUACAAUUACAAUCCAAGUGCAAGCUAUCCAGCAUCCAAUCUAAUGGGAAGUGAACAAGCUUUAAAGCGGGUAAGCAGGAGGGACUAAUUCCCAAGGAGCGAGUAAGAUUAUAAUUGGCUUCUUUCCUCUAUACCUAAUAGGCUAGGUUUGGAACCCUAUAUGCCCUUACAUGGAGUUUGAUUCCUUCUUUGAAAAAGGAUACCCGAACUUCCUCCCCGACAUUACCAGAAAUGGAUAAUCGUAGUAGUAUACCUACUCGUAGAGGCACCUUCCGGACCAAGGCAAUAGCAAACUCGCCCCACAAAGUGGUCCAAUUCUUGUGUUUAAUGUGAAGCUUGGCUUAGGCAAAGCAACCGGGAAACCAAUCCAAGAAGAGCAAUCCGGAUGAGUGCCAAAAAGGGUAAAGAGUAACCUCAUCGAUCGACCCAAUUCCUGCGUAUGUUGGUCUAGCUGUCGUGUCACCUUUAGUAAGUGAGAAAAUGCUUUUCUUACUGGAAUUCUCUUCCUUCUCGCCCUAUCCCGUUCGUGAGGUUUUCCCGACUGGCAAUAUGAAAAUGUUUUUCGUCGGUCAAUAUCUGUAAUCAAAUAAUUGGUUGCAUGUGCUGUUUGAUACUCAUUGGUAAAGGAAGAAGUCGUACCAGACAAGUUCAAUCAGUAAUGGCUGCGAGGCACCGAGUCUGAAUAGGCAUCAACAAGCACAUAGAUGUCCGAGGAAGCAAAGGCUAGGGCAGUUGAGUUGGCGGAGAGGUAGAAUUUCACUUCCUAUGCCGAUUUCUAAGCGGAGAAUCAAGCGAAAAGGUCUGUAGUGGUCUCCCUCUGGUCAAAAACGACUUGUCCAAGCAAAUUGAAAGUUGAUUCGAAUGAUGUGAGGGAAGGACCAACCGGAUACAAUAGGAAACUAAGGCAUCUAAAAAGCAACCGGCAAAGCCCCUUCUAAAGUUGUUUGUGGGCUUGACAAGUCCAAUUCUUAUAAUUUCUGAGAUGCUUGCUAGCCGCUAGUCAUAGGCAGAUCUCCUUUCAAGGUAAGUUUCUGGUUGAUCCUACUAAUGAUCAUGCGAUGAGGCAUUUGUUCAACUCAACUCAUUUGUGAAAUCCUACUUUCGAUGAGGCUAAGACAGGCCAAAGAUCAACAGAACGGGAUCUUUCUUUUCCAAGUAGGUUUUCGAUCUUUCGAACGAGAACUCAUCGUGAUGGGUAGGUGUAUCACACCGGCAAGCUCGCCCGCCUCUGUUUAGUCUUUCUUGGAUGAACAAAAUACAUUCCCUUGUCGGUUAACGCAGACUUGGAUACCUAUUCUGAUGCGGAGGGAUCGCUCGCUUCGUCCGACCCAUCAUGCAAAGCAACUUCCUUCUGGUCUUUACUUCGAUGAUGACACGAUCUUUAUUAUCCAAUGCUUUGGUGACACAAUCUGUGCGAACUGGUGCCAUGUUCCUUUUGUGCUUUGCAUUCUCAUCUGUCAUCUCGACUUCACUUCUUUAACAACUAACAUUCACGAUUCACCUCGCUCAGUGGUUGGAUCAAGGGCGGUGGGAGCGAGUGGAGUAUGCGAAGCGAGCACUAAGGUUGGUUUGUAGAUCUCCCGGGAAGAGCGAACUUCAAAUCCAUUCCCCUAUAUAUCCUCUUUUGAGACCAAUCAAUAUAGAUUCUCGAAAACCUAACCGGUCAUCAAUGAGGGAAAAGAAGCAUCGACAUUAUAUACAAUGACUUUUGUGAUCCGAUCACGCUACCGCUCUGAGGGAUUCGCUGCGCUGUGUGUCUUCCUUCUCCGCUUUCAGAUAGCAUUGUCAGUCAUUGAUGCGAGAAUCUUGUUUAGAAUUUCUUUGUGGAACAAGAAAGAAAGGACUUGACUAACGACAUUCAUUCUCGCUUAAGCUCUUCGUUCGGUCUUUGUCUAUCGCGAUCAGUCUCUCUUAACUCAUACUGACAAAAGUCAUUCAAAACGUACUUCCUGACCAAGCAGUUGGGAUUGACUGAGAGAACUACUAGAAAAAAUACUAAUCCCAAGCCCUUCGACAAAGCACACUGCACGAGGAAGAGCUUAAGCGGAAUGAGUUUGACAGUGUCGGACAGGGAUAUCGUUUUCUUUUCUCAAAUAUAUUUCAUAUAUGGUACUCUUGGCUUCGCACUAAACCGAUCGUGAUAAAGCUUCACAUGUUGGCAUUCCACCUGUGCUUCACACUCAAAAAAGUAGGUAUGGAGGGAGGGUGGGAAAGGAACAAGCUUCAAAGAAGCAAACAUUAGAACAUUCAUAGCUUGGUCGUUGUUCGCCUAUCUAUCUCUAGAAUAGCAUGAUAUCGGUCCUAGUCCCACCUAUCCGUAAGAGGACUAGCGCUAUGCCUUCUGUCAAACAGCCCAUUUUCCUCUAUGAUCUGGGUCUCAAAUCAAGAAAGUUGUAGCUCUCCCCCCUAGUGGCAAACCUUAUGAACCUCUUUUCCUUACGGAUUGGGGUCUCAGAUCGAAAAAGUUUUCACUCAUAUAGCGGCGAUAAGGAGUUGAGGGAGUUGAAAACUUCCAGAGCAGCCAACUCAGCUCUUUUUUUUUUUUUUUAUUUAAUUUAGAGUGAUGGCUUGACAGCCCUUGAACCUAGUAGGGGCAUGUUGAAAGACUUUAUUAUAUCCAUCUAGUCCUUGCUUGGCUUUCCUAAAUAGUGUCAGUCAAAAGUCAGUGCUUUGAAUCGAACGUACGCUCGUUGAAUAGAGGAAAACCGCAGGGUUCGAAGAUUGCUCUCGUCCACGCCGGACUGCUCUAAGGCCUAAUCAGGGAUCAAGUCCAUUCUCUCUGUACCGAUAAUAGCGUAAGCUUUUAGCUGGGAAUUAGGGGUUAGCUGGACCGAAAUCACUUAACUAGAGGGGCAUUGUUUUUUUGUUUGCCCCUUGACUCUUUCUAUUGAAAGAGUCGAGAGUCGUUGGGUUCAGUCAGGGGAAAGCUUUCAUAAUCACUCUUAGUCUUAGCGGCAGAACUUCACUCGUUGGUUCAACAAAAAGAGUCGUUUUUAUUCGUAAAUAAGGAGUAGUUCUUCGUGUCGUGGUGGAAGCCAUUCAAUCGUCAUCUGAUAGAGGCUCUGUGAAUCUGUGCCUUUGAACAGGAUAAGGGGAAAGAGAAAAGAGCUUUGCCAAAAGGCUACGUACGCGAGAGGCGCGAGCGAAUGAAUUCGAUUCAAUCCAAAGGGUAGGAAUCUAUAGGUAGAGAAGAUAUUCCGGGAAAAUGAAACUACGUCCAUGGAAGAGAAGAAAAUGAACUUAACCUCAUUAAUUCAUAUUCAAAUUAUUCCAAUCCAGGACUAUAAAUAGAGCUUCUUUCUCUUUCUGGGGUUCUCUUUUAAAAGGCUUGCUCUUCAUUAACCAUUUUUUAUUUCUCCAUCUAGUUAAAAAAUUAGAAAAAAAACUUUUGCUUUAUCAAUUUCAAAUCCCUUAUAGAGCAUUAUAGUCAUAUUACUGCACAAAAGCAUUACAAAGCUUUUCCCAACCAGAUUUGAUAGGCCAUUUUGCAUCUAGCCCUUCAAAUGAAAGUACAAAUAGCUUAACAAUUUAAGUCUUAGCGAAAUGAGUAGUAACCAUGAUAGUAGCAUAUUGCUUCAAGUUCACUUUUGGAUCUCCACUUGCAUUGAACUUUUGCAUUUCAAGCAUAUAAAAUUUAGGAGGUAACUAGUCUUUCCAAUCAAUAUCAAUUCAUCAAAAUCAUAGGUUGAAUUUAAACCUCAAUCUUUUAGCAUAUUUUGCAUCUUGUCAAGCCUUCUAGUCAAAUUAUAGACAAUCACGGGUUUUGCAAUAACUUUUGCACUUAGAAUAGACUCUUUUUUAGCCUAUUUUAGCAUGUAGUCAUUUAAAUUCCAGAGGUGCUCACCACGUGCUACUUUCCUUUUCACAUCAAGUAGUAGCAGUAGUUGUAGGGGCAGUAGUUGUUUUUUGGUAAUUUGUUUCCUAACAAUCUCAACAAAAGCUUGUUGGAGUUCCUCUUGAAUAACAAUCAUUAGGUCAGCCAUGUUUGCAAUUUUGAUAGCAUCAAUGUCUUGCAUGUGGGCCAUCUUUGUUUCAAGCUCUAAAUUGCUACUUGAAAGUAGUGGAUUUCCUGUGCUCUUAUCUAACUUCUCUAGCACUACCUUGAUUGUUGGUAAAAAUGAGCCUCUUGGUACUCUUUUUAGUUUGCCACCUCUUGUCUCUUCCAAACCAAAGGUAAUAAAUCUAUAUGGCUUCAAAAUAAAAGGUUAGUGUGAUGCAUGAUAUGCAUAAGAUGCAUGAUGUAUAGGUUAGAAAUCAAACAAACAAGGCAAGUUUAAAUAGGAAAAAUAUUCCUUCCAACCUUACUACUCCCACACACAUUUCAUGGUGAGUAUCUUUUCCUAGGAUUUUCUGGGCCUUGGUUUUACUACCAACAGAGGGUAGUAAAAACCAACAUGCAUACCAAUGCUCUCAAAGUAGUAAACAAACAAGGUGGUAUUUUCAAGUAUAAAAGUAAAGCCUCCAUGUUUUUAGGCCAAGGUCUUCUAAGAUGUGGGCAAAUUUUUACAAGGAAAAAUACUUCAAGUAGCAAGCAAAUGGAUACCUAAUAGAGAUUUCUACUGUCGUUACUGUGGGCUAAGUCUUGGAUAAGGAUAAAGAUUCCCACGAAAAAUACCCUUCCUUUGCUCACCUCCCCACUCAAUAGUCCAUUGCGGUGAAGGAAAUUUACUUAAUUGUGAGUGAUGGUUAGCUAGUGUUGUAAUUUCAAGAUUCAAGUAGAACUAAAGAACUACUAGCUGACGCCAUUGGAGCUAUAAGGAUUAGGACGCACAAUGUGAAAAUGGUGUAGUGAUGCAAGAAUAAACUAUUAAAUCAUAAAAUUAAAGAAUUAAAUACACUAGAGUAAGUUUCUCUUAGCCCUAGUGGAGUCCCUACUCUAGGCGGCUGAUUCAAGCAUGCACCCAAAACUUUUUGCCGACCACGACACUAUAAGGCUUUUUCAAUAUAAUAAGGGAUACACUAACCAAUCACUAAGACUAGUGUGGAGAAGGGAGUAGCCACCUAGGAAAUCUCUAGGACACUUUUUCUAAAUUUUGUGGCGGACUGGAUUCCCUAGGGAAAUAUCACCACAUCCAAAAAAUGGAUUCGGAAAGCAAAUUUCUUAGUUUUGUAUUUUUAUCUUUAAUUAUAUUAUUUAAUAAUUUAUUCCCUAUAAAUACAUCAUGGCAUAAUAUAUAAAAAAAAAUCAAUAAUAUAUGGCAUAAGUCUCCUAAAUCUAUUCCAAGUUUAUUUGACUUAUCCAAGUUACUAUCUUUUCUAAGUUAGCUUAUUAAUUUAAUGCAAUUGGUAAUAUUUUAAUACUUAGUCUAAUUUAUUUUUAUCAUCUUUUUUAAUUAGCUUAAUAAUUUUUUAGAAUAAUUAUUAUUUUUCCAUGUCCAUAUGUAUUGAUUUUAAAUUAAAUAAAUAAGAUGAAUAAUUAAAAAAAUUAAUUAAUAAAUAAAUAAAAUAUACAUCCUUAAUCUAAUUUACAUAAGUAAAAUAAAUAAUUAAAUUAAAUAAGAGACGUAUAUUCUUAAUCUAAUUUAAAUAAAUAAAUUAAAUAAUAAAAAAUAAAAGAUAUGCAACCUUAAUCUAUUCUAUUCUAAAAAUCAUUCUUAACCUAUUCUAAUAACUGUUUAUUAAAUAAAAUAAUUAAAUAAACCAUAAAAUAAAUUGAACAAAUAAAAUAAAGAGAAAAAAAAAAGAAAGAAAAGAAAAAAUACAAAAAAUCAAAACCAGGAAGAGAAGAGCCGUUGGGCCAACAAUGCACACGACAAUGGCACAAUUCUUUAAUGUCCCAAUUUUAAGUGUGCAACGAUGUGUCACACCAUGGAGCUCAAAUCAAAAAAAAAAUUGCCGAGAGUGCUAGAGUAGUGCGCAAUUCUCUGGAACACUCCAGAAUAGUGUACAAUUCUCCAGAAUACUCUAGAACACUCUAGAAUAGUCUAAAAUUUUCUAGAACAAUCUAGAAGGGUGUAGAUACUUCUAGAAUAUUUUAGAAUGGUGGAAACAUUACUUGUAUAUACUAGACUACUCUAGAAUAUUAUAGACACAUGUAGACUACUCUAGAAUAUUCUAGACAUGUGUGGACAAAGGUAGCAUUCUAGGAUAUUCUUUUAAGGAGGUAGGAAUGGUGGCCAUCCAUGCCUAUAAAUACCCCCCUCCAUUCUUCAUUUGUAAUAAUACAGCAUAUAAGGAGUUAAGGUUAAGAAUUAAGCAAUACAAGCUUACCUUUCCAAACUCUUGUGCUCUCUUUGUGCCAUUUUCUUAGGCAUACUUCCGUUUGCAUAAUUGCUGCCAUUUUGCCGAGUUUGGCAUUCGUGGGAAGGCUAACUAGCAAUCUUGAUUUUGGGUGAAUCAAGUGAGCUAGGCCGCACGUGGGCAAAGUCUAGGGAUAAAUCAAAACUCACGUGACAAAUGGUAUUAGAGCCAAGUUGGUAUAAGAGCCUAGUUGGCAUCAGAGCAUGGUUGAGUUCUUUGGGAAAUCUUGUACGAGAUUAUGGGCAAAGUUGGUGAGCAAUCCACUUCUACUACUCCUCUUGCUCUGAAGGAAGGAGGAAAGGAUAACGGAAAGGGCUGUAGGGAUAAGUCUUGCAACGUGAUUGGCAUAAUGGAAGAAAGGCUAGUUAAGGUGGAGACUGCCAUAUCCGAUUGGUAUGAUAAAAUCGAAGACAUGGACCUUCGCAUCGAGAAGCUAGAGUCCAAGGAGGACGAUGGGGAGCUUUGCGGGGAGAUGCAAGGUGCCUUAAAUGUUCUCGCCGACAAUUUAGUGAGGGACAAUGAGGCUCUUAAGAAGUUGCUUGCCCAAUGCAUGGAGAAGGUCGAUAAGCUCGAGGUGGAGCUUAACUUGUGCAAGGCCACGUUGGCGAAUAGUGGGGGAGGGCAAGUAAUAACAGUGCACAAAGUUGAUGCUCCUAAACCAAAGGCCUACGGUGGGGCUAAGAGCGCAAGGGAGAUCGACAACUUCUUGUGGAACUUGGAGAGAUAUUUUGAUGUAGUGGACAUAGUGGACAAUCCCACUAAGGUAAAGUCUGUAUCUCUCUACUUAAGUGAUAUUGCUACUGUAUGGUGGAGACGCAGGUGCGAGGAUGUGAAAAAGGGCCUUUGCAACAUUAGUACUUGGGACAAUUUUGUGCAGGAGCUUAAGAUGCAAUUGUAUCUCGACAAUGCUGAGAAGGAGGCAAGGUCAAAGCUUUGACGACUCCAACAUAGAGAUGGCUAAAUUUAGGAAUAUGUGAAAGAAUUCUCCAAAUUGAUGUUGGAGAUUCCCUACUUAGGGGAGAAAGAAGCAUUCCAUGCCUUCAUCGAUGGUUUGUCUCGGUGGGCUCAAUUAGAGCUAGAAAGGCGAAGUGCGCAAGAUCUUACCACCACGAUGGCAAUCACCGAGUCCUUAAUAAAGUUGAAGAAGAAGGACUCAUUUAAGCCAAAGAUAAAGAAGUAUGAAGAAAGUGACAAAGGUGGAGAAGAUAGAGGAAGAUCUUCUACCAAGGAUGGCAAGGCUUCAUAUAAAGACAAAGGCAAGUGGAAGAAGGAAGACAAUAGUAGUUCUUCUUUGAAAAAGCUUGCUUGCUUUAUUUGCAAUGGACCUUAUCGUGCUUACGAGUUUCCAAAGCGUGGGAAGCUUGGAGCAUUAGUAAUCACCGAAGAGGAGAAGCGAGAAGAAGAACAAAGAAUUGCUUCCCUUCGACUCCUCAAUGCUAUCCAAGCUAAAGUGGAGCAAAAGCCUCAUGGUCGGAUGUACGUGGAGACUAACAUCGGAAGUAAAAGCAUCCAAGCCAUGGUGGAAACUGGGGCCGACACGGUGUACAUGGCGAAGGAGGUGGCUGAUUCUAUAGCGCUACCUUCUGAAAAGGGAAAGGGCUAUAUCAAGGGGGUAAAUGCUAAGAGGCUACCCAUCAUUGGCAUAGCGAGAGGGACCAACAUCCGUAUAGGCCAUUGGCAAGGUAAGGUCGAUAUCACCAUUGCUCCUAUUGAUGAUCAACGAUUCUAUCUUGGCAUGGACUUCCUCGACAUGGUGAAGGCAUUCUUAGUUGCCUACGCCAACACCAUGUGCAUAAUGGAGAAUGGCCAACCUUGUGUGGUGUCGAUAAAGAGGGAGCUAAGCCAAGAGAUGAUGGUAUCAGCCGUAACUUUCCAAAGGGGUGAAAAGGAAGCAGCCAACCUUCCUAGUAACCCUCAAGGUGAAAGAAGGUCCCAACGAUGAUGGUGCCAAACUUCCAAGCCCUAUACAAGGUGUGCUUGACGAGUUCAAAGAUACUAUGCCGCCCGAGUUGUUGAAGAAGCUUCCUCCACGACGAGAAGUGGACCACGAAAUUGAGUUAGAAUCGAGAGCCAAACGACCCGCCUUUGCACCUUAUCAUAUGGCGCCUCCGGAGCUAGAGGAACUAAGGAGGCAACUCAAGGAGCUACUUGAUGCAGGCUACAGAAGGCCAUUAAAGCUCCAUAUGGUGUACCGGUCUUGUUUGAGAAGAAGCAUGAUGGUUCUUUUUGGUUGUGCAUUGAUUAUCGUGCGCUAAACAAGAUCACAGUCAAGAAUAAGUACCCCAUCCCUUACAUUGCUGAAAUCUUUGAUCAACUUGGUGGUGCUAAGUGGUUUACCAAGUUGGAUUUGCGGUUCAGGUACUAUCAAGUGCGCAUUUUCGAGGGACAUGAGCUAAAGACAGCAUGCGUGAUGAGAUAUGGAUCGUACGAGUUCCUUGUCAUGCCCUUUGGCCUCACAAAUGCACUAGCCACAUUUUGUACUCUUAUGAACAAGGUACUUGCUCCUUACCUUGAUCAGUUUGUUGUUGUUUAUCUCGAGGAUAUUGUUGUGUACAAUAACACUUUGGAGGAGCACGUAAAGCAUCUAAGGCUAGUGUUCAAAGCCUUGCGAGACAAUGAGCUCUAUGUCAAAAAGGAGAAAUGCUCCUUUGCCUAAUGAGAGGUGGCAUUCCUUGGGCAUAUCGUUGGCGAUGAAAAGCUAAGGAUGGAUGGUUCAAAGGUGAAGGCCAUCCAAGAUUGGGAGCCGCCAACCAAGGUUACCGAGUUGAGAUCUUUCCUUGGUUUGGUGAACUAUUAUUGGAGGUUCAUUAAAGGCUAUUCAUCCAUUGCCACUCCUUUGAUGAAUCUUUUAAAGAAGGGUCAUCCAUGGGAUUGUUCUACGAAGUGCCAAUAAGCCUUUGAAGGACUAAAGAAGACCAUCAUGGAGGAGCCGGUCUUAGCACUUCACAACCAUACAAAGGCAUUAGAGAUCCAUACUGAUUCUUCCGACUUUGCUAUUGGUGGAGUACUUAUGCAAGAGGGGCAUCCAAUAGCCUUCGAGAGUAGGAAGCUCAACAACACCGAGAAGAAGUAUACGGUAUAAGAAAAAGAGAUGACCACCGUAGUGCAUUGCUUGCGAACAUGGAGGCACUACUUGCUUGGCAGUAAGUUUGUUGUCAAGAUCGACAACAUUGCCACUAGCCACUUUCAAAGACAAAAGAAACUCUCUCCAAAGCAAGCUAGAUGGUAAGACUUCCUUACGGAAUUCGACUACGUCAUGGAGUACAAGCUAGAUAAAUCAAACCUUGUUACCGAUGCACUAAGCAGCAAGGGGGAGCUUGCCGAUAUAAGCUGCCCUACAUGCAACUUGGUGGAGCGCAUCAAGGAAGGGCUAAAGCAUGAUUCUAAGGCCAAGAACUUCCUUGCUCUUGUUCGAGAAGGCAAGACUUGAAGAUUUUGGCUAGAAGGAGACUUGCUUUACACCAAAAGGAGGAGGCUAUAUGUGCCGCUUCAUGACCAUCUUAGGAAGGAAAUCAUUAAAGAGUGCCACGAUAGCAAGUGGGCGGGUCAUCCAGGCAUACAACACACAAUAGCGUUUAUGGAGAAUGCCUACUAUUGGCCUCGUAUAAGGGAAGAUGUGGAGGCCUACAUAAGGACUUGUCUUGUGUGCCAACAAGACAAGAUGGAGCAACAAGCCCUAAGUGGUUUGCUAGAGCCACUUUCUAUUCCCGAGAGACCAUAGGAAAGUGUUUCCAUGGAUUUUAUUACGGGGCUUCCUUUGUUCGAGGGUUGGAUCUUUGUAGGGGUGGAUCGAUUCUCGAAGUAUGGCAUCUUCAUUCCUGCUCUGAAGGCCGUCAUCGCCGAUGAAGCUGCCCGUCUUUUUAUGAAGCAUGUGGUGAAGUAUUGGGGUGUGCCAAGAUCGAUAGUGAGGGAUCGAGAUGCUAGCUUCACGGUCAUUUUUGGACAGAGUUGUUCAAGCUACUAGGCACCGACCUCAGGUUCUCUACAAGCUUGCACCCCCAAACCGAUAGGCAAACCGAGAGGAUCAAUGCACUCUUGGAGCUAUAUUUGAGGCACUACGUGAGUGCCAACCAACGAGAUUGGGCUAAGUUGCUUGAUGUUGCCCAAUUCUCCUAUAACUUGCAGAGAAGUGAAUCUAGGGGAAAGAGUCCAUUCGAGAUAGUCAUGGGCCAACAACCUUAUACACCGAGCACUCUUACCAUGGAUUGGUCAAGCUGAAGUCCACCCACCUUCAAGCUUGUGAAGGAAUGGAAGGAGCAAUCCGAUGUUGCUUAAGCCUACUUGGAGAAAGCAUCCAAGAGGAUGAAAAAGUGGGUGGAUAAAAAGAGAAGACCCAUGGAAUUCAAGGAAGGGGACAAGGUGCUUGUCAAGCUAUACUUGCAUGGCAAAGUCGAUAGACUUCAUUGGAGUCUUAAAAGAAGGUACGAUGGACCUUUCCCCAUUAUUAAACGAGUGGGCAAGGUAGCGUACAAGGUGGAACUCCCACAAGGCAUCAAGAUCCAUCUCGUCUUCCAUGUGAGCAUGCUAAAGCCUUAUUGGGAAGAUCGCGAUGACCUGAGCCGAGGUAAGUCUAAAAGAGCUCCUUUGAAUGUGCAGGCUCAAUAUGAUAAAGAGGUGGACUAUAUCAUCUCCUAUCGUAAGGUGCCACAAUCCAACCAACCUCCAAUGACCGAGUUUCUUGUCAAGUGGAAGGGACUUCCCAAAAGUGAGGCAAGUUGGGAGCCUAUUCGUGAUUAGUGGCAAUUCGAAGAGCAAAUCAACUCUUAUGAGGAGAAGGCAACGGGGGCAUUGCCAGAUUAAGUGGGGGAGAAUGUCACACCGUGGAGCUCAAAUCAAAAAAAAAAUUUACCGAGAGUGCUAGAGUAUUACGGAAUUCUCUGGAACACUCCAGAAUAGUGUAGAAUUCUCCAAAAUACUCUAGAACAAUAUAGAAGGGUAUAGAACCUUCUAGAACAAUUUAGAAGGCUAUAGAUACUUCUAGAAUAUUCUAGAAGGGUGGAGAAAUUACUUAUAUAUACUAGACUACUCUAGAAUAUUCUAGACACAUGUAGGCUACUCUAGAAUAUUCUAGACGUGUGGAAAAAAGAUAGCAUUAUAGGACAUUCUUUUAAGGAGGUGGGAAUGGUGGCCAUCCAUGCCUAUAAAUACCCCCAUCCAUUCUUCAUUUUGUAACAAUACAAUAUAUAAGGAGUUAAGGUUAAGAACUAAGCAAUACAAGCUUACCUUUCCAAACUCUUAUGCUCUCUUUGUGCCAUUUUCUUAAGCAUACUUUUGUUUGUGUAAUUGCUGCCACUUUGCCCAUUUUGGCAUUCGUGUGAAGGCUGACUAGCAAUCUUGACUUCGGGUGAAUCAAGUGAGCUAGGCCGCACGUGGGCAGUGUUUGGGGAUAAAUCAAAACUCACUCCCUAAAAUCGUGUAAUUUGGGUAGUAUUUCAGCAUCAAAUAACAAAAUAAAAUUUAGUCAGUAAUAUAAAAUAAAUAAAUAAAUAAACUUAAUAAAAAGUAAGAUAAAUAUAAAAAAAUAAAAACAUUGAUCUAAUAAUAUAACAAUUAAUACACAAUAAGAAAAAUAAGGGUGAAAACUAUUAUAAAAUAAACAACAAUAAAAGAAAAGAAAGGAGAGUAAAAGAAAUCUAUGUAUUAUUCCAUUAAUUGUAAAAAAUAUUUAUAGGUGUAAAGAAUUACAAAAUAAAGUUAUAUUUACUAAGAAAAUCUAUACAUAGAGAUAAUAAUAGAAAUCCAAUAUUAUUUAAAUAUUUUAUUAUUAUCAUAACACUCCAUUUUGGAUGUCUAUUACAAUGAAUAUUCAUCGUUAAAAUCUUAUUAAGAAAAAUUAUAUGAAAAAAAAUCUUGAUAAAAGAAAAAAGAGUAUAUUAUUCAUGUAUAAACUUACGGCAUAACAAUGCCUCAUUAAAAAUCUUGUUAGGAAAAUCUAAUGGGACAAAAUCUAAACUAAAAAAGAACAGAGUACAGUGUAUAAAAUCUCCCCCUCAUAAAAACAUGACUUCCAACAAAAAUCUCUUAGUUGGCGCAUGCCUAUUUUGUUCACCAACUUCUCAAAUAUUAUUGUAGGGAAUGCUUUUGUAAACAAAUUUGUCAAAUUAUCAAUACAUUAAUUUUGAUGAACAUCUAAAACUCCUUAUUUCUGAAGCUCAUGUGUGGAAAAGAACUUUGGUAAAAUGUGCUUAUGUUAACACUAAAAUUUUUCAACCGAUGAUGAGACAUUUUAGUUGGUGGAAUGCUUUUGAAUAAAUAACAUGUGUUAAACUCAUAGAAAUAGCCCCGAUGAUCGACCUUAAAGCCCCUAAAUCUAAAAAAAAGCCCACAUUUUAGCAAAGUUGACAAAUUGACCUCGCCCACGUUCAGGCUGAGCUCGUGCACGUUCAAGUUGAACUUGUUCACGCUCAGCCUAAGCCAGUGCAAAUUCAAACUAGGGUAGAGCCUCUCCAGCUUUAUGACAUGACAUUUUAAGAUAAAAAUUCAUUAAAUGAUGUGGCACCAUCGUAGCCCUCCAAUCUUUAUCCCUAAAAAAUACAUCCUAACACUUUAUUUUAAACCGAAAAACCCAUAUAAAUUCAUCUCCAAACCCCCACAUACUCACAUACACACAAAAAUCCUACCCCCAUUUUCUCUCUACACUCAUUUUUCUCCAUACACAAAAACUAUAAGAAAGAACCUAACUCCCUUCAAUCCCAAAUAGAAAUUAGGAAGUGUUUUUAGAGCUUUUACACUCAUUUUGUUUUAUUUUAAAGCAUCUCUUUUGAUUUUACAUUCAAAUCCAUUACUUAAGGGUCAAAUCUAAUUUUAUGGAUCUUCGGUGCAUAUUUUGUGUGUUUUAAUUUUGUACUUCAUCAUAUUCUAUUCCAUUCCUUUUAUUUUUAUUAUUUCGGGUGCAAAACCCAUUUAUUUUCCCCUUUGUAAGUUGAACACGUACGCGUUCAACUUUAUACUCCCGCGAUUUCACCCUAACCCUUCGAAUUUAAAUCAUUAGUAUAAAACGUAGUCAUUUUAGCACUUUUAGGCUUUUUGAAGCUUGAACUCAUGCUGGUUUAGCCUAUACCCAUACGGGUUCGAUCUUAAUUGCCAUGUGCAUUAUCAUUUUCAAUUUUUUCCCGUUGUUUUCGUGAUUUUUGACUUCUAAAAGUCUAAACACGCACAAGUUUAACCUAUACCCGCCGUGGGUUCAGCCUUAAUAGUCCUUAUUUUAUCAUUUUUGCUAAUUGGGCUAUCAUUUUACUGUUUUAGGAUUUCUAGAGGCUCACCUCAUGCUAGGUCAAACUGACCUUGUGCUAGCUCAGUUUCACUGAGCGGUUGUUUAAUCUGCCAGACCUUGUUUUAACUAAUUUCUACUAAACUUUAAUCAAUUACUUACUUAUUCUAUUUUACUUUCUGCCAUUUAAUUUUCCUAUAAUUACAUCCUCUAUUUAUUAUUUAUUGCCCUUUAUAUUCAUCUAUUUUGAGGUCCUAAGCUUGUAAUAGUUUUUCCCUAAGCAUCCCGAUCUCUUUAGUCCCUUCUUUAUAUGCUUAUCUUAUUGCUUUCUAGGUUCCUCAUCUCACGUGUUUAAAGAAUUAAAAUCAAUAUAGCAUUUAUGUGAUCACCUCAUAUGUCAACUCUAAAAUAAAUCGAGCUUACCAAUGUAAGCUCCCUGCACUAUAUUAUGUGUUCACCUCAAAUGCUAAGAUAAAAUAAAUCUGACACUUAGACUUAGGUAAUAAAAUUCGUUUCUAGUUUGGUCACCUUUCAAUAAUAUAUCCAUCAAUGUUGAUAUUUGUUGAGACGGGUCUAUAAGUCAUGUUAUACUGUUGAAUAACAAGCCCUAAAUUAUCUAUUUCGACUUAUUUUCUUUUAUAGAGAAUUUAUGUGCUUGGGAGUCCUUGAUGAUUAAAUAAACCAAGAUUUUACCAUGACUGCAAUUUUCGAGAGACGCAAAAGCGAAAGCCUAUGUGGUCGUUUCUCUAACUGGAUAACCAGCACUAAAAACUGUCUUUACAUUAUAUGGUUUGGUGUUUUCAUGAUCCCAACUUUUUGACCUCAGCUUUUGUAUUUAUUAUCACUUUCAUUGUUGCCCCUCUGACAAAGGACAUUAUUUCAAUGAUACUAUAGGUACAUGCGAAGAAAUGGUUAAAAGGGCUAUAUUUUCCAGAUACUGGAGGUAUAUUUGCCAUCAUAAUGCAUGACUACUUAACAGGGGGAUUCACUACAAAUACUACCUUGGUUCAUUAUUGCUGAGGUAAUGGUUUACUUCUUCACAUUCACCACACAAUGCAUUCAGUUAUUGAUAGAUAUAAGAAUCAUGGUAUUCAUUUCGUGUACUAGCUAAGGUGUUACGUAUGUCUGGUGGAGAUCAUAUUCACGCUGGUACCACAGUAGGUAAACUUGAAGGGGAAAUAGACAUCACUCUAGGCUUUGUGGAUUUAUUGCGUGAUGAUUUUAUUGAAAAAGAUCAAAGCUGCGGUAUUUAUUUCACUCAAGAUAGGGUCUCUCUACUUGGUGUUCUUCAUAUAGCUUUAAGGGGUAUUCACAUUUGGCAUAUGCCUACUCUGACUGAGAUCUUUGUAAAGCUAUAUAUAUAUGGUAAUAGGACUAAUGAUCUUAUCUUUGAAAGGGUAUGAAGUACCAUUUUCUUUUAAAUUUUUUUUAAAAAACCAGAGUUNNNNNNNNNNNNNNNNNNNNNNNNNNNNNNNNNNNNNNNNNNNNNNNNNNNNNNNNNNNNNNNNNNNNNNNNNNNNNNNNNNNNNNNNNNNNNNNNNNNNNNNNNNNNNNNNNNNNNNNNNNNNNNNNNNUUUUGAAUCAUAUUGAAUUCUGCUUCUAGAUUUUGAGUUAUUGCUGACAGUGAUGGUGAAGAUGGGGCAGAGAUGGAUUUCAUGUCAUCUUCUUUCUUUGGUUAGCUUUCGUUAUAAACAGGUCUUGGGAUAUUGCUUUGGUAAUCAACAUUUUGUAAUGUGGUGUUUGGGCUUGGCAAAUAUGAUGUUGAAUGGGCUUGGCAAAUCUAAUGAUUUCAAAAGAGUUUCAAAUUAAUAAAAAGCUUUUACAUGAAGAUUUCUACUCAAAGAAAAACCAUUCUAAAAAACUCUGAUUUUUUAAAAAAAAAUUAAAAGAAAAAGAUAGUAUCCAAGAAAGAUACUAUGAAUUUUGUUUACAAAAUAAAGUCCAAAUCUCAUUUUUUUGAUUGGUUUGAAAUUUAUUGCAAAGAAAAUGGUAUUUCAUACCCUUUCAAAGAUAAGGUUAUUAGUCCUAUUACCAUUAGGAAUAAAGCCCCAGAAUGGAAGGUCGGAGAAAACCAAACCAUCCAGUCUGAACAUCCUUAUCUUAGGAAGAUAACUAUUCCUUAUGGAGAAAAGGAAAUUCAAGCCACACCUUACAAGCUAGUAGGCGAGGAUUUUGAAAAGAAUAUCAAAAAUAUUGUUGAACAGAAUAAUUUUUCAAAUACAUGUCUUAACACGAUAGGAAAACAACUGGUUAGGAUAGAAAGCCAAAUUCAAAGACCUACUACAGUCUUGACCUUUGUAGUCUCUAAUACUAGUCAUCCAGAGGAAAAGAGUCAAACAGAGAAACUUAAAAAUCAUGUCUUCAAACCCUAUCAUAUUUCAAAGCCUAGUCAAGACCAAUUUCAAAAGCAAACUGAGUUUGCUAGAGCAGUCAGAGAACAGCUUAGAAAGUUAGCCACUUCCGAGUCUUUAAAGAACGUAGUACUGGAUACUCCUCAAUCCAGUAGGAAUAUUAGUGCUAUAGAGCAAGCCCAAAGCAGUGAAUCUAAUGAUUCAAGACUAGAGAGUGUUAUUAAAGAACCCUCCCAAAUCAAUAGAUUGGGAUGGCAAGCCCCUAGAUUGACUUGGCAUACUCCUAGGACUACUGCCCUUGACUUAAGCAUAGAAAACAUGAAUAAUGUCCUUACCCAGUCUAGAUUCAAUGCCUCUUUCGUCUAUAAAUGGAAUAUAGAUAGAAUGUCUGAGUAUAGCAUUCUUGAUCUCUUACAACAGAUGACAAAUGGCAGCAAAUGCCUAUAAAACCCAAAGCGGUACCUCUGGUAGAGCCAUAGUUGAACUCCUUAUAGCCGGUUUUUCAGGCCAGCUUAAAGGAUGGUGGGAUUAUCAUCUCACUCAAACACAACAACUACAAAUCCUAGGUACUAUCCAAACCACAAUAGAAGGAACCCUUAUCCUAAAUGAAUUAGGAAAUCCAAUUGAGGAUGCUGUGUCAAUCCUAAUCCUUACGAUUUCCAUCCACUUCAUAGGAGAUCUAUCUUACCUCAAAGAUAAGAAUACUGAACUUCUCAGCAAUCUGACCUGUAAAAAAACUUAGCAAUUUCCAAGCCUACAAAAACACUUUUCUGACCAGAGUAAUGCUUAGGGAAGACUCAAACCAGCCAUUCUGGAAAGAGAAAUUCUUAGCUAGUUUAUCUAAAAUACUAGGUGAGAGAAUUAGAAACGUUAUCAGAGAAGCCCAUAGUGGCCAAAUCCCUUAUGAUCUCUAUAUUUACAGUGAAUUAGUUAGCCUUACUCAGAAGGAAGGAGUAAAAAUUUGCCAUGAUCUUAAGCUUUAAAGACAACUCAAAUGGGAAAUAAAGAAAACUAAGCAAGACUAAGGUAGUUUUUGUAACCAAUUUGAGUAUAAUCAAAUAGAGCCUUCCCCUGCCUGCAAAGGAAAAUGUAAGGAAGAUUUUUCAAAAUCUUAUAAGAAAAAAUGUUUUCACAAAAGCAAGAAGGUGCCAAGAACAAAGAAAGUUUUUACAAAAGGCCAUCUUCUUCAAAAUAUUCAAAACAGAAGCCUAAAAAUGAUUUUAGCAAAAUUACUUGUUACAAGUGUGGCAAGAAAGGCCAUACUUCAAAGUAUUGUAAGUUUUCUAAAAAACUUCAGGAGCUUUAAAGUAUUGUAAGUUUUCUUUGGUUGGCUUUCAUUGUAAACAGGUCCUAGGACAUUGCUUUGGUGAUCAACAUUUUGUAAUGUGGUGUUUAGGCUUGACAAAUCUGAUAUUGAAAAUCUUGGCAAGCUUCGUGUUGAAACAAUUUCUUUGUAAAAGGCAUAGAUGAAAGAGGGUAUGUUUGAAAUCCUCCCUAUAUCUAUGGUUGAAGUGGAAGAAGUUUCAUCAGAUAAUCUAGAGGAAGUUGAUAUUCUAUUGAAUGUGAGCUUUACUUUCCUAUCUGGAAACUAGGUUAUGUUUUAGAAGGGUGAAGGAUUUUUUUAUAUGGGUUUUUUGGCCCGUUACACAAAGUUACCGUGGGCCGCCAUUCCUAGUUUUCAGCCCAAGGGCUUUACAAGGCUUUUUAACAUUUUAUUUUAUGGGCUUGAAUAUCCCAAAACAAUCAUCUUCAUUCGAGUCACCAUCUAAGUCAAUGGCUGUAGAGUUGGUGCUUAAAGAGGAUGAUGAGGCUCUAAACUUUCCUUUAAAGGAGGUAGUUUCUGACAACUGUUUGAUUAGUUAUAGGAAAUCUUCUUCAGUUUGAGCCGCCGCCAGUUCUAGAAGUAUAAAAGACUUAGAAGGUAGUUUGUUCUUUAGGUGCUGGCAAGAAGCUGUUCUUCGUAAGGAAAUUUUGGAUCAUCUUUGUAGAUAGUUUUUCUUGAUGGUUGGAUUUGUCCCCCACCACUUUACUUUGAAUCUGCAGAUAAGAACGAUUUCUCCAUCUACUGCUUGAUUGAAAUGGAAAUACCACACACAUACCCAAGGGAGGAAGAAGUUUGCACAAAAUAGAAGCAAGAGGGGGAAUUGUCUUUCUAUUUUGUUCGGUUUGUAAUGAGCUUUAAAGAGGUUAAAGAAAGGGUCUCCACAGCAGACGGAGCCAAACACAAACCCCAGAAACAUAAUCCAGUUUCCAUAUGGAAAAGUAAAGCUCACAUUCACCAGAAUAUCAACUUCCUUUAUCAUCUAUGCCCUUUACAAAGAACCUGUUCCAACACAAAGCUUACCCACACCCUGCACGAUGUAACAAGCAUGCCAGAAGCUAUUCCUAUAAUAGGAUCACCUUUGGUAGAGUUAUUAUGUGGAAGUGCUAGUGUAAAACAAUCCACUUUGACUCAUUUUUAUAGUUUGCACACUUUCAUAUUACCUCUUCUUACUGUCGUAUUUAUGUUAAUGCACUUUCUAAUGAUACGUAAGCAGGGUAUUUCAGGCCCUUUAUAGUAUAGAAAAUAUAGAUUAUAAAUAUUUGUAAUCAACCAUUGGUCGCUUGGGGGAGGAAGAAAAGUGUUUCAUUGCUACAAAUAUGGAUUAUUGAAAAGAAUAAGACAAGUAUUUGGAUAUUUCCCUUCAACUCCAAUUAUUCUUUUAUACAUGAAUAGUUGAAGUGAAUUCUCCUAAGAGAAAAAUGGAUUAUGGGAGUGUGUACUUAGACUAUUCAUUUGGUCAACAAGUUAGGUUUUACUACAAUUACUUGAAAUGCAUUUGGAUGACAUCCUUUUUCGAUUAGGUAUUGGCGUCAACUAUUCCUCGAGCUCGCCAAUUAGUCAAUCAUAGAAAUAUUUUAGUUAAUGGUCGUAUAGUAGAUAUACUAAGUUAUCACUACAAAUCCCGUGAAAUUAUUACAGCAAGAGAUGAACAGAAGUCCAAAGCUAUGAUUCAAAAUUAUCUUGAGUCAUUUUUCUAGGAGGAAUUGCCAAAACAUUUGACUCUUGACCCAUUUUAAUAUAAAGGAUUGGUCAAUCAAAUAAUAGAUAAUAAAUGGAUCGGCUUGAAAAUAAAUGAAUUGCUAGUGGUAGAAUAUUAUUCUCGUUAGACUUAACUCUAACUAAAAUAACAAAGGUUUGAAAAUUUUUUCCCCCUAUCGCUUAAGUAAAGAAACAAAAAGAAAAUAAGGGUUUGGUUUGAUGUGAUCCCAUUCAUAUAUCAUAGAUAUAUAUGGAUAUUUUUAUUUCUUUCCAAUUUUUCUAGUAUUUUUUGUACCACAGAAAUUAAGAAUUGAGAAUCUAUAUCAAGAGAAUAGGUAAAGCUAUGAGUUACUACGUGGAUAAGAUAAAUCUAUAGAAAAAAGUAAGUAAACAAAUAAAAAUAGAUCUAUAAAUCUAUUUUAAUAUUUUAAUAUAAUUAGUAUAAUAAUAUUUUAUUUUAUAUUUUAAUAUAUUAAUAUAAUAUUAAAUUUAUUAAAUUUUUAUUCAAUAAGAAUAUAAUUCUAAUAUCUAAUAUAUAUAUAUAUAUAUAAUUCUAAUAUAUAAAAUUAGAAUUUAUAUAAUAUUAUAAUAAAUAUUAUAUAAUAAUUAUAAUAAAUAAAUAUUAUAUAUUAUAAUAAAAUAUAUAAUAAUAAUAAUAUAAUAAAAUAUAAAAUAUAUAAAUUAAAAUAUAUAAUAAUAAUAUAUAUAAAGAUUUCUUUUUAAGUUUGAAUUUAUUCAUUUGGAAUCUAGGCUCUUCUACUUCAUUUAUAUUUAUUUAUUUAUAUUAUUUAUAUUAUUAUUAUUUUUCACUCUUUUUUUUUUAUUUUUUUUAUUCCCUUCCAUAAUUCCUUAAGUCCUAUAGGUUUGAUCCUCUAGAAUAUGACCCAUUUUCUCAUUAAAGGGUAAGAUUGAUUUUUUGAUCAAAAGUACUAUGUAAAAUCUUCGGUUUUUUCUCUUUCGCUAUCCCUAUCCCAUAGGUACAGUGUUUGAAAUCAAUAAAAAAAACCUUUUCUUCUAUAUAUGUACGAAUUGAUAUUAUUAUAUUCUGAUUCAUUCCUGGCACCUCCAAAGGAAAAUCCCAAAUUGGAUCCUAAAUUGACAGGUUAGUAUGAGCUUAUCUAUGCGAUUAUGCAUUCUUCGAAUAGGAAUCCAUUUUUCGAAUGAUCUUGGCUUUCGUGCUAUGGUGGGUCUCUGAGAUCCUUUCGAUGACCUAUGUUGGGAUAUCUAUAUGAUCUGAUCGAUUGUGUAAAGCACGCGGUAGCAAUAGAACCAGGGAAAGUAUACAAAAGAGACAGUUCUUUUCUAUUCUAUUAGUAUCCGAUUAGUAUUAGUUAGCGAUCCUAGCUCAAUGAGUCCUUUCUUCUGUGAUGAACUGUUGGCAUCAGUCCUACAUUUUCUCUCUAUGGAUCGAAGAGAAAGGGGCUCAGCGAGAAGAGGAUUGUACCAUGAAAUAAGUAAGGAGAAAGCAUGAUAUUCACUUUAAGCAUGAACUAGAAUAGAAGAGCAAGGCGGGGCUUUUUACGGGACUUCGCCUUAAUCAAACAUAAUUUACUUAGUAAAAUGUAAGAUGUGGGUAAUUCGUGUGUAUAUAUAUAUAUAUAUAUUUAUAUUAUAACCUCUUCUCUAUUACACCCCCUCCCUUCUCUUGUUCUAUUCAUACUAUAUUCGUACCUAUUUUUUUAUUUUUUAUUUUUAAUUGUUAAAUUUUAAAUUGAAUGCAAUUCAUUCUUUUGUUUUCAACAUUAUGUAUUUUUUUCUCAAUUUAUUCAAUUUAUAUUGACAAUAGUGUAUCAAAUAAAUAUAAUCCGAUUUGAGGUAAUUGGAUCUUUUCUGUUGAUCUAUUUAUUCAUGUUUCAUAGAUUUGGUUUUCUCUUUAUUCAAAUGAUGGGUUUUUUUAGAUUUGUUGCAAUACAAACAUUUUGUUUGAUUGGAAAAAAUGUUAAACAUUAUAUAAUAAAUGAAUAUUUUUAAUUUCUUUUAUUCAGAAUUGAUUAAAAUUUUUUUAUUUAAUUUCUUGCUAGUUUAAUGUAUUUAAUUUGUGUUGAUUCUAAUUAAUGUCGAAAGGCAACUCUUACUCUUACUUUUAGGAUUUUAACUGCUAGAUUUCUUAUUAUUUAAAAUAUGAAUCCUACCAUGUAUCGAAAUAAUAAAAUCAAUCAAAAAAAAAUUUAUAAAAAAAAAUUUCAUAUUUCAACUAAAAGAAUUAAUAAACCCUACCGAUUUUUAACAUUUGAAUCAUAAUAUGAAAUGAGUCAAGUCAAUAAAGUAUAGCACAAAUCAAAUUUCUCUAAAAUAAUAAAAUAAAUACUAAACUAAGCACUAAGCAAAAAAUAUUUUAAUAUGCGUAGUAUCUCAUUGAAGAACCAUUAUGUCUAUCUUAUUUUCUAUAAAAAUUCACUUAAUUUAAUCACUUUUAAUAGCUAAUAAAAGAAUUGCUUUCAUUUAAAAAAUAGAUAAUUCUUAAAAUUAUCUUGCGUAUUCUUUUUUUAUAAACAAAAAAUAUGAAAGAAAAAAGUAAAAAAUUGGAAUGGAAUAGAAAAGUGUCCAUGUCUAAUGGAUGGGACAAAAGUCUUCUAAACUUCUGGUAUAGGUUUAAAUCCUAUUGGACGCAUAAUAUAAUAAUCUAUAUAUAGAUUAUAUAUAUUUUAAAAAAUAUAAAUUAUAAAAUAAAAUUAUUAUAAUUAAAAGCUAAAGAUUAAAAGUGAUUAAUUUCUUCAUACUUAUACUGUAGUGAUUAAUUUCUUUAGACUUGUCCUUGAAGUAGAAAACGUUUCUUCUGUUCAUAAACCAUAUAAAAUCUAAGGUACCAAAGUAUCUCCGAUUAGGACUAACAAACGCACCAAUGUGCUUUCCAUCUAGGACUAGUUAAGAUACCCAAGUAGCUCCUCCUUAGGUUAGUCUCUUAAUUUUCCACCACACAUACUAAAGAAGAUAAAAAAAGGUCGAUGCAUAAAGCGAAUAUAGGGUAAAGAUUAAGAUAAGAAAAUAUUAUUAAGAUAGGCAAAGGCUCUUCUGCUCUAGUGGAGGCUAGGCUUCACCACCUAGGCGGAUAGGGGUGCUUUCAUAAACCUUCCCUAUUCAUACCUAACUUUUCAAACUUAGAAUCUUUGAUUUUAGGGAGGAUGAAACUUAGGCUCUCCGCGAGGGGUACAAAGUCGUCAUCCUCAGUCCCGAAUCAUGUCUUGAUCUCAUCAGGUGGCGACUCUUUCUCGAACUAGUCUUAAGGCCUUUCGUAAUCCCUUAGGACCCUCAACUGAACAACUCAUUUUGAAAUGGGCCUACUAUAAAGAAUGAUACCUAGACACAGUGACGAGGUCACUAAGCAUUUAGGGCCGGCCCAAAAUAAGCUAUGCUCAUAGUGGCGACUCCACUGGAGACAUCAAGAAGUUGACUCCGAGGAGUGGAUGAGCUUUUGCCUUUCCAAACACUAUUGACUUAGCCCUGCAUUUCAUUUGCAUUAGAAUUAAGGAAGGCCCUAUAUUCCUGGUGGCUUCAAUGUACGGGAUAUACAUGUUCCACUUGUAUUGAGUAGCGCUAACACAAUUAACCGCUAAAUAGAAAAAUGGAAUAAGUUUAUCCAAAAGUAUAAGAAAGGUACUCCUCGCUAAGGGAAAAUCAGCCUUAUUAUCCCAGCUAAAGCUCAUAUAGUGAAAUAUAGUAUAGGAUUUACCAUAUCAUAUACUUGCAUAAUGGUUGGAAUAUUGAUCCAAAACCUUGAGAUUAGCCUAAAUAGCCACCUGCUUAAUCGAGAAUCUCUAGUUCCGGUAUGACCCUAAAUCAACACCUUUGAUAGGUAAACUCGAGGAGACUUAUCGGAUAAUAAGCGAGUAUAUGCUGCUAGUCCCUCAGUUUUCUCUCAACAUUCUAAAUCUCCCAUUGCACAAACAUGAAAUUCUUUCAAAAUAACUGACCAGCUUCCCGGUAAUCAAUAUGGGGUUACCCGGCUCCUUGUUGAAUAUCAAGGAAUCAAAUUGUUUAUUUUUAAGAAAGUUAUGAUCAUGUGCCGAAGGAGAAAGAGCGGGUAUUGCUAUCCCCAAUUGGUAGUUAUGCCGAAACUAAAAAAUCCUAGAAGGAUAAUACCAUGCCAUGAACUUCGAAGUGAGGGAGUUUUGCAUGUAAAUAUUUGACAAAUUUUGUCCUAUUGUUAAAUCCUAUCUAAUGCUUCAAAUUUUUGUAUAUCUUAACUAACUCCCUUCUUUGUUUAAUGUCUCCUCUCUUUUCAUACAUGCAUACAUGCACUUACAUUUACAUUCUAGGCACACCUUUCUAAUCCUUUGUUGUAGUUACGUCAUCAUUGUUUGGGUUAGAAGAGAAGGGAGACCCAUAAGAAAACAAACAAAAUGUGGGAAGUAGUUCUGCUAAUUUACAAACACUACAAGCUGAGAUGGUUGCCAUUAAAGAGUAGAUAAAAGACCUAAUGGAAAUGGUCAAGCAACGAUCAGAUCUCCUACCAACAUCGACAAUGCUAACGAUGAUGGACUGCCCGUUACUUUGGAUUUCACUACUACUAUUAUGGAAAAGGACAGAGGAAAUGGUAGUGAUUCUCAUAACACUAGAUGGUGAUGAUGAGAUGCAAGUCCUUCUGGCAUCCUCGCCAAGGCCCACCGGCACGUAUCCUACAUCUUCAAUAGAAAACCCUAAGUUGGAAGAAAUGAGAAGACAGCUCGAUAAAAUGCAAAAACUACUCAAGCUGAAAGGAUUGGAAUCCAUUGAAGACAUUGAUGAGUCCAUGUUGAACACCUCCAAAGGAAAGGUGUAUCCUCCGACCUGCCAAAAUUUGAUAGGUCUGGUGAUCCCCAAGCUUUCUUGAAUGUAUACCAGGUAGACAUGUCUUGUUCCAAUCUGACUAGGCAACAAAUAGUCUAAUACUUCAGUCUCUAUUUAACUAGAGUUACAGCCUGCUGGUAUUGGUAAUUGGAUAAGAAGGUUAGGAAAGAUUAGAAAAAUAUGGCUGAGAGAUUCAUUGGCCAAUAUGGAUACAACAUCAAGGUCGAAGUGAGCACUUGAAACUUAGAAGCUACCCGACAUCUCUCCAAUGAAACUACAUCUGACUAUAUCUUACAAUUCCACACUAAGGUGGCAAAGAUGACCAACCGACCAAUAGAAAAAAAAUCAAGUGUGCUUCGCUAUCAAAGGUUUGUUGUCUUACCUCUAUGAUAAGCUGGCUCCCUAUCGCAUUAAGAAUUUUGAGGAUUUGAGGGAUUAUGCUACUAAUGUUAAGGAGGUUGAACUAAAAAAGAACUCCUAUAGAAGGAGUAGUGCAAACAUUCCUAGCCAAAAAGAAAUGAGUGCCCUAGACAUGAUCUUCAGUUUAACCAGUCAGCCGCAAAAGUUCACCAAGUUCUUGGUACCUUUAUCGCAAGUCAUGGCUAAGCUAUAAGAGCUUUAACCACUAAAGUCACCAUUCACAAGACCAAGGGUGACUCAAAUGGGCACUAAUCCAAAUGCCUUCUGUAAACAUCAUCAGCUGCCUAGCCACGAUCCCGGCCGUUGUUAUGCUCUAAGGAACAAGGUUCAAAUGCUCAUCGAUGAAGGGAAGAUUGCUAAUCCUAAGUACAGAUCACCUUGUUUUUGCUCCGCCUUUUGACUUUGAAGGAUAAUACUUUCAACAUCAUACAUUGGGCAUUUGGUCUUAUUUAUAUGUAUAGAUGUUUUCCCUACUGUUAAUUAAACAUUUUCAUGAUUAUCUUAUUUGCAUAUUAUGAUUUUGUGCCAUAUCAUCCAUUUGAUUCAAGUGUAAGCCUGCUUGUACUCUCAAGGAAAGAGUGAGAAUAAAGAAAGAUAAGAAUUAAAGAGAUAAAAUUGUUUUGCUUGAAUCCUUAAGAGACAUAACCUAGUCUAAGCCUCAACCCAUGCCUUCACUAAGCUAAUUGAGCCAAAAAUGAGAAAAUACAUAAGACAAAAGACUCGGGCCAACCAAUAUGGUUCUGAUUCUAAAAAAUAGAAAGAAAAUAGAAAAAAGGAAAAAAAUAUGAUGUAAAUACAAUAGAAAGUUCUGCCAAUCAAUCCAAGACCUUCCCAAAAAGGUUGCAAUAAGGUCAGUAAGCUAUGAAAGGGGUAUGGACUCACUCAGUCAGGCAAGGUAACACGUAAAUAAAUUGAUUGAAACAAAAAUCAAAACAAGCGCCCAAUAGGCUAAAAGAUCCAGCAAAAAGAGACCUAGGCAAAAGUAAGGGCAUUUUAAAUAAAAUAGUCAGCCAGAAAACCCUAAAAGGCUAGUUGACGAUGAGAGUUCGGUCAGGCACAUAGGCCCAACAACAUUUAUGCUUGAAUCAAAUUGUGUGAUGACAUCAAAUAAUAUGCUUAUAAGAUAAUCUUUAAAAUGUUCAAUUAGCAAAAGUGUAAAGUGUCUCGCAAAUAGACAUAGCAAGAAGUGACAACGCGUGUUAAUGACUAAGAAGCCAUCAUCGUUAAAAGCAAUAAGGGGGGCAAGUAACUCCCAUUCCUUGUGCAACCAUACCUCCAAAAAAAGGAGAGAAUAAAAAUAGAAAAUCACAAAAAGAUAUACCUGCUAAGUUGAAAACCCUCAAGGGGCAACUUAUGCAAAAUUUAAGGCUAGCAUGCUAGGUCAAAAACCUAAAAUAGGGCGAUCUAGGCAACAAUCAAGGCGAAAUAGCUCACUGGACCGAAAACUCGAAAAGGGCAAUCUAAGAAAAAAAUAGGGCAAGCAAAAAAAAAGAAAGAAAAAAAAGAAAAAAAUAAGAAUAAAGAAAAUGAAAAAUAAAAAGAACGAGGGUAUGGCGAGCAAGUGAGUCCCUCCAAAAGGCAUCUGCAUCAUCUCUUUCCUAUGAUCUCUUUUGAGGCCUCAUCAAGACGUGAACGACACAAAUACUUACAAAGUAAUAACACAGACUCCAGACUCAUCAAAUUAAAAGUUGAGCAGCUAAGGUAAGAAUCAGGAUUUGACUGCAUCCCAUUAGACAUACAUCAGCAAAUCAUAAUGCUUACUACUAAAGUAUUAGUGUCCAUACCACUAGAAGUAGUGAAAAUUCAACCAAAGUUUCGGGAAGCUACAAUAAGGAUAAACUACAGAAAGUCAAGUAGCAUCAAACAUUGAGGAGCACCAGAUCACACCCACUCUCAGAAAUUCUCACGGCCUCUACAUCACAACGCCCCCUUCAGCCUAACCCAAUGCAAACAUAUCAUGCAUAAAUUAAAAUAGACUCAUGCAUACAUGAAUAAAUAUAUCGAUGCAGGACACUAAAGAUACUGAAAAGCUUGAAUGCUUAACGCACCCCAUUGCUCAAACAUGGGCUUCAACCCGUGCAGAUCAGGACACCACCCAACCAUGCAAUCCAAGUAUGAUUCUCUAAUUUCCAUUCAAUGUGGAAUGCUAACCCCAAGCCUAUUGAGUCCUUUCUUGAGGAAUAAUUGUCUUUUUAGGUACAAGACACGGUUCGACUAUGGCUCGCUGUCCUCUAGAACAUCAAUAACCUUCAUCAAGAAGACAACACUAUUGCUUCGAUGCACCCUCAAAAAGAGGCCGGUAUUGCACCGACGCACCCUUAAGAAAGAUGAUGGUAUCACAUCAACACACCCUUAAGAAGGCAACGGUAUCGCACUAACGCACCCUCAAGAAUAGGACAGUAUCACACUGAUGCAACUUAAGAAAAUAACAGUAUCGCACCGAUGCACCCUCAAAAACACACCGGUAUCACACUGACACACCCUCAAGAAGACGUAUUGUAUCAACACACCCUCAAGAAGACGAUGACAUUGCACCGACACAACUCAAGGAGAUGUCGGUAUCACACUAACACUCCCUCAAGAAGAUGACAGUAUCGCACUAAUGCACCCUAAGAAGACGUUAGUAUCGUACCCAUGCACCCUCAAGAAGAUGCCGGUAUCCUAU